rnacentral:rRNA from 1 species
UACGGAGGGAGCUAGCGUUGUUCGGAAUUACUGGGCGUAAAGCGCACGUAGGCGGCGAUUCAAGUCAGAGGUGAAAGCCCGGGGCUCAACCCCGGAACUGCCUUUGAAACUAGAUCGCUAGAAUCUUGGAGAGGUCAGUGGAAUUCCGAGUGUAGAGGUGAAAUUCGUAGAUAUUCGGAAGAACACCAGUGGCGAAGGCGGCUCACUGGCCCGGUACUGACGCUGAGGUGCGAAAGCGUGGGGAGCAAACAGG